rnacentral:lncRNA from 1 species
UAAGUGUCUCUGACUGUUCCAUGUGCAUUGACAGCUGGCUCCUCAGGUGCAGGAUCCAUUAUCAUAUAUAAGAUCCGUUCAUACUCCAGGACUAUCUUCAACUUUCGGUACUAGCUACUGAAGUUGGGUCCCACCAACUUAUCAUUGUCCAACAAUGAUCAGAGCAAUAGGGAAGUGGCCAUAUUUGCACAAAGGAGAACCAUAACCUAAUUAGUAAUUGAUUCAUUAAACC